rnacentral:misc_RNA from 1 species
AACGCAAAUUGCACUCCCUGGUAUUCCGGGGAGUAUGCCUGUUUGAGGGUCAGUUUAUAUAAAAUCGAUAUAUUGCUUUUUUUGUGGUAUUUCGAAAUUUGGGUUAUCUUAAUCCCCGUUAAGGGUUAAGAGACUUGAAAUUGAUAUUUUUUUGCGCAUCCUUGACGUGUAUAAUUAUAUUAUCCGUUUUCCGGGUGUCAAUUUUUUAUUAGGUAUGGUCAUAUUGUAUGAUUUCGUGCCUAUAAUUUUCAUUGAAUGACCUCAAAUCAGGUAGGGAUACCCGCUGAACUUAA